CCUACGUGGCUGCAGUGAGGAAUAUUGGUCAAUGGACGAGAGUCUGAACCAGCCAAGUAGCGUGAAGGAUGACUGCCCUAUGGGUUGUAAACUUCUUUUAUAAAGGAAUAAAACGAGGCACGUGUGCCUUUUUGCAUGUACUUUAUGAAUAAGGAUCGGCUAACUCCGUGCCAGCAGCCGCGGUAAUACGGAGGAUCCGAGCGUUAUCCGGAUGUAUUGGGUUAAAAGGGAGCGUAGAUGGGUUGUUAAGUAAGUUGUGAAAGUUUGCGGCUCAACCGUAAAAUUGCAAUUGAUACUGGCAGUCUUGAGUAUAGUUGAGGUAGGCGGAAUUCGUGGUGUAGCGGUGAAAUGCUUAGAUAUCACGAAGAACCCCGAUUGCGAAGGCAGCUUACUAAACUGUGACUGACAUUGAUGCUCGAAAGUGUGGGUAUCAAACAGGAUUAGAUACCCGUGUGUC
rnacentral:rRNA from 1 species